rnacentral:rRNA from 1 species
GAUGAACGCUGGCGGCGUGCCUAAUACAUGCAAGUCGAGCGAACAGACGAGGAGCUUUCUCCUCUUACGUUAGCGGCGGAUGGGUGAGUAAUACGUGGAUAACCUACCUAUAAGACUGGGGUAACUUCGGGAAACCGGAUCUAAUACCGGAUAAUAUAUUGAACCGCAUGGUUCAUUAGAGAAAGACGGAUUUGCUGUCACUUAUAGAUGGAACCGCGUCGCAUUAGCUAGUUGGUAAGGUAACGGCUUACCAAGGCAACGAUGCGUAGCUGACCUGAGAGGAUGAUCGGCCACACUGGAACUGAGACACGGUCCAGACUCCUACGGGAGGCAGCAGUAGGGAAUCUUCCGCAAUGGGCGAAAGCCUGACGGAGCAACGCCGCGUGAGUGAUGAAGGUCUUCGGAUCGUAAAACUCUGUUAUUAGGGAAGAACAAAUGUGUAAGUAACUAUGCACGUCUUGACGGUACCUAAUCAGAAAGCCACGGCUAACUACGUG